UACGUAGGGGGCAAGCGUUGUCCGGAUUUAUUGGGCGUAAAGAGCGUGUAGGCGGUUCGGUAGGUCCGUUGUGAAAACUCGAGGCUCAACCUCGAGACGCCGAUGGAAACCAUCGAACUAGAGUCCGGAAGAGGAGAGUGGAAUUCCUGGUGUAGCGGUGAAAUGCGCCGAUAUCAGGAAGAACACCCGUGGCUAAGGCGGCUCUCUAGUACGGUACUGACGCUGAGACGCGAAAGCGUGGGAGCGAACAGG
rnacentral:rRNA from 1 species